CUCUGGCAGCCUGCUGUUCUUGCUCCAGGCUCCUCUACUUCAUGCAUUCAGAUGCUUGUAUUUUCUGUGGCUGGAUGUAAUGAUACUCACCUGGUUCAACUGCCAAGUUAAAUGGAGUGAUUUCUCAUGUAGUGUUACAGUAAUGACCAACGUGACACAGAAGGAAAAUUCUGUGACAAUAUGAACUUGGUAUGGCCUCAUGUGCAAAGUCCCAGUUUAUGAGAGAAGGAGGAAAGGACUUGCAUCAGUGAGUGACCAAGCUCGAAGCACUUGAGGUG